rnacentral:rRNA from 1 species
CCUACGGGAGGCAGCAGUGGGGAAUCUUGCGCAAUGGGGGCAACCCUGACGCAGCCAUGCCGCGUGAAUGAUGAAGGCCUUAGGGUUGUAAAGUUCUUUUGCCCGUGACGAUGAUGACGGUAACGGGAGAAUAAGCUCCGGCUAACUUCGUGCCAGCAGCCGCGGUAAUACGAAGGGGGCUGGCGUUGUUCGGAAUUACUGGGCGUAAAGCGCGCGCAGGCGGUUCGAUAAGUUAGGGGUGAAAUCCCUGGGCUCAACCCAGGAAUGGCCUUUAAGACUGUCGAGCUAGAGGACGAGAGAGGUGAGUGGAAUUCCCAGUGUAGAGGUGAAAUUCGUAGAUAUUGGGAAGAACACCGGUGGCGAAGGCGGCUCACUGGCUCGUUUCUGACGCUGAGGCGCGAAAGCGUGGGGAGCAAACAGGAUUAGAUACCCUGGUAGUCCACGCCCUAAACGAUGAGUGCCAGGUGUCGGGAAGCUUAGCUUCUCGGCGCCGCAGCUAACGCCUUAAGCACUCCGCCUGGGGAGUACGGCCGCAAGGUUAAAACUCAAAGGAAUUGACGGCNGAGACGNGCCGACGACGACGACGAGGAGAGG